rnacentral:rRNA from 1 species
GUGCACCAGGCGCGAAACUUCACAAUGUGCGAAAGCACGAUGAGGGAAUCCCAAGUGCUUGCACGUAAGUGUAAGCUGUUUCUCUGUCUAAAACGCAGAGAGAGUAAGGGCUGGGUAAGACGGGUGCCAGCCGCCGCGGUAAUACCUGCAGCUCGAGUGGUGACCGUUAUUAUUGGGCCUAAAACGUCCGUAGCCGGUUUAAUAAAUGCCUGGGUAAAUCGGACCGCUUAACGGUUCGAAUUCCGGGUAGACUGUUAAACUUGAGACCGGGAGAAGUUAGAGGUACUCCUGGGGUAGAGGUGAAAUUCUGUAAUCCUAGGGGGACCACCAGUGGCGAAGGCGUCUAACUAGAACGGGUCUGGACGGUGAGGGACGAAGCCCUGGGGCGCAGACGGGAUUAGAUA